rnacentral:lncRNA from 1 species
AAUAGGCCUAUGUUGAGCCUCCAUAAGGCGUGUUAAGUGAGCUAGUUGGCGCUCCGUAGUGGCCAACCGUUCCGCCAGAAUAAUGCGCUCAGCCUUGGACUUAUCAAGGCAUUCCUUCGUCUCUAAAAAUUCAGCCGCUUGCAUGUCAGUUCCUCCUUAUGCACAGACAUAGCAAGAGGUUAAUAAUAACAAAAAUAGCAGCAACUACAAGAAGUAC